AGGGUGUCUGCUAAAUGCUGUAAAUGUGGGUCUUCUGCUGCUCUUACAGGAGCAGAGCAAAGCCCCACCCAGCCCUGUUAUAACUGUGUGUAGAGAAACUAUAGAGUUUCUAAACUAUAGUUCAUGAAUGACUGCAGGGCAGGGGACUUAUUUGUCCAUGUUAAUAUCAAUUGUGUGGUGACCUGAAAAAACUCUUCACAUGAAGUUUUCCUAUUUUAUAUUUAAAAAUGUAGAGAAACUAUAGAGUUUCUAAACUAUAGUUCAUGAAUGACUGCAGGUUUGGAAAAAGAGAAAGAGGCUGUUCCUUCAUCAAGGCCUGGAGUCUUAUUGUCCAGUACUUUAUCUCACAUGGCCAAGUCUGUUUCUAAGAGGGUGUCAGUCUGGGAGCCUUGCUGCACAAACACACAGACUUGGGGCAAACGAUGAGCUCGAUGCUGGUUUAUCAAAAGAGAACAUAGUCAAGUAAGCCUGGAUGACUAAGAGGUGCCAAGCUCUCUCUGCUCUCAUAUGGCUUUCGUGCAUCGACACCUGCAGGGAACUGCUGGACCUACAGUUAAAGCACCUUUGGAGGAGUAUUACAUCAGCAUAAGACCAGCAGCUCUGAACCUGAAGCACCUGAUUAGCCAGAGCUCUUCGAACUCCCUCCAGCAGGACUGCUCUCUCUACCAAGAGGUUAUCAUGUUUCCAC